GGCGGACGGGUUAGUAACGCGUGGGAAUAUACCCUUCACUAUGGAAUAGCCUCGGGAAACUGAGAGUAAUACCAUAUACGCCCUUCGGGGGAAAGAUUUAUCGGUGAAGGAUUAGCCCGCGUUAGAUUAGAUAGUUGGUGGGGUAAUGGCCUACCAAGUCUACGAUCUAUAGCUGGUUUGAGAGGAUGAUCAGCAACACUGGGACUGAGACACGGCCCAGACUCCUACGGGAGGCAGCAGUGGGGAAUCUUAGACAAUGGGCGCAAGCCUGAUCUAGCCAUGCCGCGUGAGUGAUGAAGGCCUUAGGGUCGUAAAGCUCUUUCGCCAGAGAUGAUAAUGACAGUAUCUGGUAAAGAAACCCCGGCUAACUCCGUGCCAGCAGCCGCGGUAAUACGGAGGGGGUUAGCGUUGUUCGGAAUUACUGGGCGUAAAGCGUACGUAGGCGGAUUAGUCAGUUAGGGGUGAAAUCCCAGGGCUCAACCCUGGAACUGCCCUUAAUACUGCUAGUCUUGAGUUCGAGAGAGGUGAGUGGAAUUCCGAGUGUAGAGGUGAAAUUCGUAGAUAUUCGGAGGAACACCAGUGGCGAAGCGGCUCACUGGCUCGAUACUGACGGCUGAGGUACGAAAGUGUGGGGAGCAAACAGGAUUAGAUACCCUGGUAGUCCACACCGUAAACGAUGAAUGCCAGUCGUC
rnacentral:rRNA from 1 species